UUCCCAGACUCCUACGGGAGGCAGCAGUGAGGAAUAUUGGUCAAUGGGCGCGAGCCUGAACCAGCCAAGUCGCGUGAGGGAUGACGGCCCUACGGGUUGUAAACCUCUUUUGUCGGGGAGCAAAUUCCGUUACGUGUAACGGAGUCGAGAGUACCCGAAGAAAAAGCAUCGGCUAACUCCGUGCCAGCAGCCGCGGUAAUACGGAGGAUGCGCGCGUUAUCCGGAUUUAUUGGGUUUAAAGGGCGCGUAGGCGGGCUUUUAAGUCAGCGGUAAAAAUUCGGGGCUCAACCCCGUCCGGCCGUUGAAACUGGGGGCCUUGAGUGGGCGAGAAGAAGGCGGAAUGCGUGGUGUAGCGGUGAAAUGCAUAGAUAUCACGCAGAACCCCGAUUGCGAAGGCAGCCUUCCGGCGCCCUACUGACGCUGAGGCACGAAAGUGCGGGGAUCGAACAGGAUUAGAUACCCCAGUA
rnacentral:rRNA from 1 species